rnacentral:lncRNA from 1 species
UUUCUUAGGCCACAAUUAAAAGAAUGUAUGUUUCCCCAAACCCCUACCCACAUUUUUGUAGGUGGGUAGGUAGGUAGGGUUUUUUUUUUUUUUUAUAUCUUGAUAUUUUUUUUAAUAUCCAACAGAGCAAAACAAAUCGAUUAUGUGUAUGUCUGGCAUAUAUAGCCAUCUGUAGCAACUUAAAUGUACGUGUUAAAUUGUCUAAAUGUUUGUAGCUCUCUUUUUCAGGUGUCAACUUGACAUUAAUUUUAUUUGAUUUUAUUUGGAUUUGUAUCUCAGAAUUGUUCAUGACUGGGAUUUUUUUCCCUCUUUGACAGUGACUACUAAGUAGCAAACUGUUUUAAAUAUAUAUAUGCAUGUACUGUAGUUGUUCAACCUGAAGAAUGUUCCAUCAAACAAUUUACCCUCUGACAGCUCAGGACUCAGAUUUUGCUUCUGACAUUGAGGAAAUCACCAAUAUUAAUAAAAUUAUUAGAAUGAACUUUAUUUGAGCUAAAAGAUAACAAACUAAACUAAUAUGCAUAUAGUCUCAAUAGAUACAAAGUGAUUUUUAAGUCCUGAGUAAUGAGGGGGUAGAUUCUUUGCUGGAAUAGCCUUGACACUUAUUUAUCAAUACAUCAGACAGAUUUUAAUGCUUUAAUGAAUUUUGAAUUAAACAAAUGACUAGAUUGAAAACAAAUUAAUAGAAAUAAAACAAAUGUCGGACAGAACUUCAAACAAUGAAUCAAUAAAACAGCAGAAAAACUGUUGCGGUUCUGGGUGUCAGAGUCUCUUC